rnacentral:lncRNA from 10 species
CCAAGUGUGCUUAUGACAAAUAAUGUCAAGAGCACCCACUCUCUUCCAGACAACACAGGGUCAUUUUCAUGUAUGAAAAUAUGAAGUAUUUCCAGUGUGUCUUACAUACAUUUUGGGGUGUUUGUGAUUGAAUUAUCCAAUUUGACUCACAAAUCUCAGUUUAGGCCAACUCCUUCACUUUCUGAUGAGAAAAAUGGUGCAAGGAGGUAAAGUGAUGCUGUGAGGCUGGGCCAGUUCUUCCACCUGUGGCUUCAUACAUGGACGUCCUGGAACCUAUUGGAAUGCUGGGUGGCCUGAGCCUGAUGCCCUGAGCUGUACCCCUGGACUCUUUUAAUUGAAAGUGACAGAUAUCCAACUCCAACCAGCUUGGGCAGAAGAGAAAUGGAUCCAUGCAUGGAACCUGAAACCAAACCUCAGGGUGGGCGGACAAGGAAAACUACAGAAUUGUUACUUCUGCAGAAAUCUCAAUGAAUCUUCACUUCCAUUUAUGAAUUGCAUUGUUACAGAUAUUUUUCAGCCUCAGGAUUCGAGCUUCCCCACAUCUCACUAGUUUCAAAUUAUAUGAAGGUCAGCAGUAGUGAACAUUCAAUGCUCUUCCCUCCACAUGAAUGCGGGCUCCUGUGUUCUGAGCUCACUGCCUGUUGGCCACGAUUGGUUGCUUCAGGAUGGAUCUCCUGAUCCAGGGGGUGUUCAUCAAAAAUCUUUCCCAAGAUUUUUGUUUUAAUUGUGGUAAUAAACACCUAACAUUAAAUUUACAACUUUAAACAUUUUUCAAGUGUAUAGAUCCGUUGUGUUAAGAACAUUCACAUUGUUGUUCAAUCAAUCUCUAGAACUUGUUCAUCUUGCAAAGCUGAAACUCAUUAAACAUUAAAGCUGAAACCCAUU